AACGAACGCUGGCGGCAGGCCUAACACAUGCAAGUCGAGCGCACCUUCGGGUGAGCGGCGGACGGGUUAGUAACGCGUGGGAAUAUGCCCAGUUCUAAGGAAUAGCCUCUGGAAACGGAGAGUAAUACCUUAUACGCCCUUCGGGGAAAGAUUUAUCGGAAUUGGAUUAGCCCGCGUUAGAUUAGGUAGUUGGUGGGGUAAUGGCCUACCAAGCCUACGAUCUAUAGCUGGUUUGAGAGGAUGAUCAGCAACACUGGGACUGAGACACGGCCCAGACUCCUACGGGAGGCAGCAGUGGGGAAUCUUGGACAAUGGGGGAAACCCUGAUCCAGCCAUGCCGCGUGUGUGAUGAAGGCCCUAGGGUCGUAAAGCACUUUCAACUGUGAAGAUAAUGACGGUAGCAGUAGAAGAAACCCCGGCUAACUCCGUGCCAGCAGCCGCGGUAAU
rnacentral:rRNA from 1 species